rnacentral:rRNA from 1 species
GUAGGGAAUAUUGGGCAAUGGUCGGAAGACUGACCCAGCCAUGCCGCGUGCAGGAAGACGGCCCUCUGGGUUGUAAACUGCUUUUAUCUGGGAAGAAAAAGGCCAUGCGUGGCAAAUUGCCGGUACCAGAUGAAUAAGCACCGGCUAACUCCGUGCCAGCAGCCGCGGUAAUACGGAGGGUGCGAGCGUUGUCCGGCUUUAUUGGGUUUAAAGGGUGCGUAGGCGGCUGAUUAAGUCAGCGGUGAAAGACUGCGGCUUAACCGGAGCAGUGCCGUUGAUACUGGUUGGCUUGAGUGUCGGAAGGGUACAUGGAAUUGAUGGUGUAGCGGUGAAAUGCAUAGAUACCAUCAGGAACACCGAUAGCGAAGGCAUUGUACUGGCCGACAACUGACGCUGAUGCACGAAAGUGUGGGGAUCGAACAGGAUUAGAUACCCCAGUAGUCC